rnacentral:rRNA from 1 species
CUACGGGAUGCAGCAGUGGGGAAUAUCGGGCAAUGGGCGAAAGCCUGACCCAGCAACGCCGCGUGAAGGAAGAAGGCUUUCGGGUCGUAAACUUCUAUCCCGGGUGAAGAUAAUGACGGUAGCCCGGAAGGAAGCCCCGGCUAACUACGUGCCAGCAGCCGCGGUAAUACGUAGGGGGCAAGCGUUGUCCGGAAUGAUUGGGCGUAAAGGGCGCGUAGGCGGCCAGGUAAGUCCGACGUGAAAGUCCUGCUUUUAAGGUGGGAAUUGCGUUGGAAACUGUGUGGCUUGAGUGCAGGAGAGGUAAGUGGAAUUCCCGGUGUAGCGGUGAAAUGCGUAGAGAUCGGGAGGAACACCAGUGGCGAAGGCGACUUACUGGACUGUAACUGACGCUGAGGCGCGAAAGUGUGGGGAGCAAACAGGAUUAGAUACCCUAGUAGUC